CAAACAGUACGUGAAACCGUCAGGAGGGAAACGAACGAGGUUGGUGCAGUGAUCACGCAGGUUCAAGCACUGCCAGAGGUGCCGACGCGGCAACACAGAUUGUUCCGUGCCGUCAGCCCAAGGCAGUGCCGUACUCCUCGUGAACAUGAACCAGCAGCGGCUGGACCGGAGUCAAAAGGUGGCAGCGGAAGGUGAGUUGAUGCGGGCCCGUCCUGCCUUGACAGCUUAUAGCCCUGCCAUGUGGCACUCCGGUCCGACCGAGGAGGCUGGGCAGCCCUUGCCCGUCGUGGUGCACGCCGAAUGGCGGGGACUCCCAACACGAGCUAACCGUGCGGGGUGGACUGCAUGCAGUGCUCAACGUGGCGGUGAUCCCGUGCUGGUGAGUGCCACUUGUGUGCCAGUGCUGCUGGUAUUGAGAUGGCCUCGUCCGA
rnacentral:sRNA from 2 species